GACGAACGCUGGCGGCGUGCUUAACACAUGCAAGUCGAACGGAAAGGCCCUGCUUUUGUGGGGUGCUCGAGUGGCGAACGGGUGAGUAACACGUGAGUAACCUGCCCUUGACUUUGGGAUAACUUCAGGAAACUGGGGCUAAUACCGGAUAGGAGCUCCUGCUGCAUGGUGGGGGUUGGAAAGUUUCGGCGGUUGGGGAUGGACUCGCGGCUUAUCAGCUUGUUGGUGGGGUAGUGGCUUACCAAGGCUUUGACGGGUAGCCGGCCUGAGAGGGUGAACGGCCACAUUGGGACUGAGAUACGGCCCAGACUCCUACGGGAGGCAGCAGUGGGGAAUAUUGCACAAUGGGCGGAAGCCUGAUGCAGCAACGCCGCGUGCGGGAUGACGGCCUUCGGGUUGUAAACCGCUUUCGCCUGUGACGAAGCGUGAGUGACGGUAAUUGGUAAAGAAGCACCGGCUAACUACGUG
rnacentral:rRNA from 1 species